rnacentral:rRNA from 1 species
CCAAUAGCGUAUAUUAAAGUUGUUGUGGUUAAAAAGCUCGUAGUUGAACCUUGGGCCUGGCUGGCCGGUCCGCCUCACCGCGUGUACUGGUCCGGCCGGGCCUUUCCCUCUGUGGAACCCCAUGCCCUUCACUGGGUGUGGCGGGGAAACAGGACUUUUACUGUGAAAAAAUUAGAGUGCUCCAGGCAGGCCUAUGCUCGAAUACAUUAGCAUGGAAUAAUAGAAUAGGACGUGUGGUUCUAUUUUGUUGGUUUCUAGGACCGCCGUAAUGAUUAAUAGGGACAGUCGGGGGCAUCAGUAUUCAAUUGUCAGAGGUGAAAUUCUUGGAUUUAUUGAAGACUAACUACUGCGAAAGCAUUUGCCAAGGAUGUUUUAAUUAAUCAGGAACGAAAGUUAGGGGAUCGAAGACGAUCAGAUACCGUCGUAGUCUUAACCAUAAACUAUGCCGACUAGGGAUCGGACGGUGUUAUUUUUUGACCCGUUCGGCACCUUACG